GAUGAACGCUGGCGGCGUGCCUCAAACAUGCAAGUCGAGCGGGGCUAUGUAAUAUCGCAAGGUAGAACAUAGCCUAGCGGCGAACGGGUGAGUAACACGUGGGUAACCUGCCUGGAAGACAGGGAUAACGAUUCGAAAGGGUCGCUAAUACCUGAUAAUAUCCUUUCAUCGCAUGGUGAUAGGAAGAAAGGGGGAAACCCGCUUUCAGAUGGGCCCGCGUCCCAUCAGCUAGUUGGUAAGGUAAAGGCUUACCAAGGCGACGACGGGUAGCCGGUCUGAGAGGAUGUACGGCCACACUGGGACUGAGAUACGGCCCAGACUCCUACGGGAGGCAGCAGUGGGGAAUAUUGCACAAUGGGCGAAAGCCUGAUGCAGCAACGCCGCGUGGAGGAUGAAGGCCUUCGGGUUGUAACUACUUGUCUUCUGGACGAUAAUGACGGUACCAGAGGAGGAAGCCACGGCUAACUACGUGCCAGCAGCCGCGGUAAACGGAGUAGUACAA
rnacentral:rRNA from 1 species